UACGGAGGGGGCUAGCGUUGUUCGGAAUUACUGGGCGUAACGCGCACGUAGGCGGCUUUGCAAGUUAGAGGUGAAAGCCCGGAGCUCAACUCCGGAAUUGCCUUUAAAACUGCAUCGCUAGAAUUGUGGAGAGGUGAGUGGAAUUCCGAGUGUAGAGGUGAAAUUCGUAGAUAUUCGGAGGAACACCAGUGGCGAAGGCGACUCACUGGACACAUAUUGACGCUGAGGUGCGAAAGCGUGGGGAGCAAACAGG
rnacentral:rRNA from 1 species